GAGUGAUGCUUUGAAAAAUGCUGGCACUGUAGAUAUGGAGCUUGGGAAACCAUUUCCAGAGAAAAUUCACAGCAUGAAUGCUUACCUAGGGUGAGUAAAUAUGUGGCCCGCAGUUAUUCCUGAUUGUGAGAGUUUGUUUGUGAGUAGUAAAGUAGUAAUAGGACUGUUUUUAUUUAUUUUUUUCUUCAUUAAAUUGUUGGUAUCUUGUCAAUGCAAUGCUGAAGAAUGUAAAAGGACGCUGUAGGCACUGUAACUUCUUUAUCUAAUUGAAGUGUUUAUAAUGACUGGAGUACCUUGACACUGUUCUUCAACAAACUGUUUUUAUAGGGUUAUUUACAAAAGUGAGAAUUCAAAGUGAAUUGUAAAUUAUAAGUCAGAAUAGUCAAACUUGGAAAAUGUUCUCAGUUUGCUAAGCUUUCAGUACGGCUACUCUGGCCUUAAAUUUGAAAUUAACUUUGAAGUUAACUGUUUGUAGAAUAUUCUACAUUUUGGGGAUUUUUUUUAUUACAUGCCUCUUACAUUUAGGCAUGGGUGGUCUCGGGUGACAUGAACAGAAGAUAGUAAGUCGUGUAAGAACUUGAAGUUUCAACAUGGCGAUGUUAUUAUUGCCAAAAGGGAUAUUGUUUCAAUAGUAUUGAUAUUGUAAGGAUAGUAUAUUCUUGCACAUCCACUUUGGUGGUGUACAUAUAAAAUGUAUUGUAUAUGUAAGAGGAGUCAGUGAGAAACAGAACAUCAAGAGUAAUGUCUCUUCAAGUAACACUCUGAUUGUCCAGCAAAUACAAGCAGCUGUUGACCAUUUAACAUCAAUGACACUUAGUGGUGGACUGGUUGGGGCAGGGGACGAAAUACCUUCUGCCCCUCUCUUGAUGCUCCAUGAAAUGGCCACACCGCCCCCACCAAAUCACACACUGUUCCGUACAAUAAAACCAUUACUGCUUGUGAUUUGGUGAUUUGGUGGGGGCAGUUCAGGUGUGAGUGAGCAGGAGUGACCUUGUAGAGAACUGCCAUCAGGGUGAGUUGCUCCGUCUUCCCUGCAGCACUGGGCGGAAGUGAUCUGGAAGUGAGCUAACAUGUCACUUUCUCCCAGUGCUCUACAGUUAUCUGUAUCCCUCCAAAGAACAUAGCGCACUUUGCCUGUGAGAUCACUUUAUUGGACUCUACCAACAACAUGGCCUUGUGAUGUAGUUACAGUUAACGAGCUGGAGCCUAUGUCAGGAGUUUUCCAGGGAAAAAAACACUGCUUUGUUUUAGUGCUGUCUUGUGCGUGUGUGCAUACUUGGCAGAUCAGAACUUAUGGCCACGCCCCUCUUAACUUAUACACCAACCAUAGGUCACUGUAAAUGAGGUAUGUGAUAAAACCCAGAAGCUAUCAGUGUCCAACCCAGAGCUGUAUAGUCAAGUGAGGAUACUUAUUCAAAUUGGUUAUUUUUUUCACUCCAUGACUCAUCUAUAUUUUGUCAAUCUUUCUUUUAUUGAGGCAAGCAUUAAAUGGGGUACAGAAUAAAGAAGAGGGGAUGCACGGUAAUUGUACAGGAUGGGAACACGCUAACACAAUAUAACAUCUCCUACUCACCUAUAUUUUGGACGCUGGAGUACCCAAUUGAAUAUAUUUAUAUAUUUUGUCAUAAAUGUUUCUCUUUUUAAUUAUUUCUGGACUCAAAUAUUUCCUUGCAGAACAUGUGAAGUUGCAAGUACUCAAGCGUUUAAAUCAUCUGAAAUUAUUUUGAUGCAUAAUAUAAGGGGCACAUUCCAAUGCUUUUUAUAAACAAGUCCUUUUUGUUGUUUCUUGUCUACAAUCACGACAAAUCCCAGUUUUUCAGCUAUCAGAAUGGUCGUAUUUUUUACUUACCGCCCUUGGGAAUUUAGAAGAGGUACUGCAAAUAUUUCCUGCUGCAGUACCUCUUCCAUUCUUUAAAUACAAUAAAUCGCCAGCAUAGUCACAGAAAUGUAAGCAAACGUCAUUAAUCUUACAACUUUAUGCUUCUCUACAAGGUUUUUGUGGUAUAGGACUAUCCUCCACAUGGACCAUGGCUCCAAUGUAAUCUAAUCCAACCACACUUGUCUGUAUGAGGAAUUAUACAUGGGUAUAUUCACUGAGAAACUAGUCAAGGGCAGGCUGACAGUAAACUGAGCCCUUGGAGCGCCAUGAAUAUGUAAUGUCUGUCAUGUCAGGGCUGGACUACAUAUUCUCACAGGGUGGAAAAAAAUGUUUUUAGAUUUUAUUCUUGUGAUUGGAUGACACUGUACAGUGACAUAAACAGACAAUACAAUUAUCCCCUAAAUCUGAAUUUGAGGUCCUGUAGACUGCAACAGCAUGAUGGAAGUUUUAUUCCACAACAUUGUAUGUAUCCAUGUAUAUUUAGGCAACUAUCCAGUCCUAUCUGUGUCAAAACAUUUUGUAUAUAUAGCAUAUGAGGAUCCACUGAAGAAGAAGCGUGAAUAUCAGUGUGAGAGAACCAUUUAGCAAAAAAGCCAAAAUUGUUCUGUUCCUAAAGGCACAAAAUAACUAUGUCCACAUGUACCCUAUACAUGAUUGUGGCUUCUGGUUAAUAAAGAACAACAUCUCCUCCUAUGCCAUCUGCUUACUGUCUAGUGGCAUGAUCACCCGUGUGAAGGUCAUCAGUGUGCACAAAAGGAGAGAUCGAUAUUCCCUGGCACACUCCAAUGCAAAGCCAACUUGUUUUCCAGUGGACCCCAUACAGAUUGCAGUGCUGGCAGCUUUCCAAAUGCAACCAUUUACAAACUGCAACUGCAUACCAAAUGCGAAUAGUAUUAAUGAUCCUAUUCUCUGACAUCAUGGGCAGCGGUGUGUAUGUUAACAGGAAUCUCCUUACCUGUUCAUUCCUACAUACCAUACUGUGGGACAGGAGUAAUUCAUAAAAUAAGGGAUCAACCAGAGCCUUAAACAUCCAGGAAGGGAACAGGAUUAUGACCUCAUAUUUCUGCACCAUAUAUCAAGUACCCAGCUGCAUAGGGUUUGGAUAUGCAGAGAUCACCUGUGAGUUUCCUCUACCUAGGGAAAGGGAACUCUUUCCAUAGCAUUCAUUCCCUUAUUAGACCAGACUAGACGGCUAUGAAAACAUGUAACCUACUUCUCCAGGAAUAAAAUCAUUAUUGUUCCAUUGAUUUAAAAAAAAAAAAAAUGUUUCAUUAUUAUAAGAGAACCACCUGCUACUGCUUUAAAGAGGGAAACUGUUAUCCAUAAACAAAUAGAAAACAGUAGAGAAAAUAGUAGAUAUUACAAUUAUUAUACUUAAAGGAACACUAUAGCAUAUAUAAACAUGUAUUCCUAACGCUAUAGGGACUUGCUAGCUGUUUUGAUUACUGCCACCCAUUUUUCUUUCUCUCCAUUGGGUUUGAUUUACUUCUCACAGUGAAGCGCCAGUAGUAGCGCAAUGUUUUAUAUUGCAGGGUUAAAAUUAAAUGGCCACUGCACCCAGUAUACUUUGUUGCCUAUCUGUUUUUUAUUCUUACAUUUGCUUACAUUCAAUUUUUUUGUUUUACAGGGCAAGACCAAUUAGCAGAGCAUUGGAUCUCGGGGCAGACAUUGUUGUGACAGGAAGAUGUGUGGACAGUAGUAUUGUGUUGGGACCACUUAUACAUUCUGUAUGUAUACAUAUUUUAUUCCCAAAAUGUAUAAAACUUACAAUUUCAUAAUUCUAGAAAUAAUUCAAAAAGACCUAGUGCAUGUGGAAUGGAACAAUACUACAAACUAUUUCACGAGAAGACGAAUAUAUAUACAAUCAAAGUUAUUGUUUUGCACAGCUAUUGAAAAUAGUUUUGCAGUAUGUAGACCCUCGCUAUUUAGCGAAAAGUCUUGCAGUUGUGUUCUCUGGUGCUCCUGAUUUAGCGAAAAGUCUUGCAGUUGUGUUCUCUGGUGCUCCUGAUAAUGAUUUUGUUCUUGACUUGGUGGCAAAUCCAAUGUGAUGGCUACUUGAAACCUAUAACCCAUAGACUUUACUGGGACAAGCUAUAUUACCAUAGGCGUGCGCAGCCUAUUGCAUUAGGGUGUGCACCCUAAAGCACAAGCACACGCCGCAUAUAUAUAUAUAUGUGUGUAUAUAUAUAUAUAUAUAUAUAUAUAUACACAUACACAUAUAUACACACAUACACACACUGCUGUGUGUGUGUGUGUGUGUGCUGUGUGAGGGUGCUGUUAGUGUGAUGUGUGUGUGACGAUGCUGGUAGUGUGCUAUGUGGGUGAGGGUGUUUGUGUGUGCGUGCUUGUGAGGGUGCUGUUAAUGUACUGUGUGUGAGGGUGCUGUUUGUGUGUGUGUUUGUGCGCUUGUGAGGGUGCUGUUAAUGUACUGUGUGUGAGGGUGCUGUUUGUGUGUGAGGGUACUGGUAGUGUGCUGUGUGUGUGUUUGUUAGGGUCCUGUUUGUGUUUGUGAGGGUGCUGUUUGUGUGCUGUGUGUGAGGGUGCUGUGUGUGUUUGUGAGGGUGCUGUAUGUGUGUGGGGGUGCUGUAUGUGUGUUGGUGCUGUGUAUGUCUGUGGGUUCUGUAUGUGUGUGGGUGCUGUGUGUGUCUGUGGGUGCUGUGUGUGUCUGUGGGUGCUGUAUGUGUGUGGGUGCUGUGUAUGUCUGUUGGUGCUGUGUAUGGGUGCGUGCUGUGUAUGUCUGUGGGUGCUGUGUAUGUUUGUGGGUGCUGUAUGUCUGUGGAUGCUGAAUGUAUGUGGGUGCUGAAUGUGUNNNNNNNNNNNNNNNNNNNNNNNNNNNNNNNNNNNNNNNNNNNNNNNNNNNNNNNNNNNNNNNNNNNNNNNNNNNNNNNNNNNNNNNNNNNNNNNNNNNNAUAAAGGUAAACUGAUAUCACAUACCAUAAUCAUUGUGUAUGACAGGAAAUAUCACCAAUAUAUCAUCAGUUUAGUAAUGUUCGUUUAGAGUAUUGAUUUUUACCAUUCCAUACCUAGGUAAGUUGGUGCCAUAUGGUUAUGUAAGUUAUGCUAGGUUUUUCAGAAGGAGAAUGCAGUUGCAACUGGAGUAUGUGUUAGUGUAAAAAAACUUGCCAUUAAAGGUGUUAAGUGUAAUUAUUGCUAAAAUUAUAUUUCAAAGACCCAUCGCAAGAAAUUUAAAUGGUGUGCCACGUUAAUAUUUUGCAUAUUUUGGUAGUUGUUAUGACUGGGGGUAUGUUUUACGUAAGUCCAAGUUUGUACUCUUAAUUGAACAACUUGCAUAUAUAUGUAUUGCUGUAACAUAACUAAAUGGAACUUGGAAAUUGUAUUAAGGAACAUGUAUAUAACAAUAGAGAAAAAAGCACUAUUUUGUCAGCAGUAGGACUAUAGAAAAUAAACUACACCCUGUUCCAAAUUAUUAUGCAAAUGAUAUUUUUCUCAUUUACCUAAAUAAUUGAUGUAAAUAACAGUCAGCAUAAUUCUCAUGUUAUCAACUAUUAAGAGUACAAUUCAAAUUUUAUUGAACAAACCUCCUAAUGAUAACAGUAUUUUUUUUAAACAUAAAAAACUUACAAUGCACUGUUCCAAAUUAUUACGCACAGUAAGUUUCAAAACACUUUAUAGGUAGUGAUAUCCCGAACGGUUCGCCGAACGGUUCGCCACGAACGGUUCGCCACGGACUCAUCAUUGAGUAAACUUUGACCCUGUACCUCACAGUCAGCAGACACAUUCCAGCCAAUCAGCAGCAGACUCUCCCUCCCAGACCCUCCCACCUCCUGGACAGCUCACUAAGAAUGCAGCUUCAAAAUGGAUGCUGUCCAGGAAGUGGGAGGGUCUGGGAGGGAGGGUCUGCUGCUGAUUGGCUGGAAUGUGUCUGCUGACUGUGAGGUAAAGGGUCAAAGUUUACUCAAUGAUGAGUCCGCGGCGAACCGUUCGGGACAUCACUAUUUAUAGGUUCUAAAGAACUGAAAAUUGUCAUUUGUUGUGUUUGCAGCAUAUUUAAUGAAAUCAAAAGCUAUUUCAAUCAAACUUAUAACAACAUUUUAACUUUUUAAACAUUUUAACAGGUCACGUUACAGUUUAACAUAGGACCCCUUAUUUGAUAGCAGCUUCACAAGUCUUGCAUCCAUUGAAUUUGUGAGUUUUUGGACAGUUUCUGCUUAAAUUUGUUUGCAAGAUGUCAGAAUAGCCUCCCAGAGCUGCUGUUUGGAUGUAAACUGCCUCCCACCCUCAUAGAUCUUUUGCUUGAGGAUGCUCCAAAGGUUCUCAAUAGGAUUGAGGUCAGGGGAGGAUGGAGGCCACACCAUGACUUUCUCUCCUUUUAUCCCCAUAGCAGCCAUUGAUGCAGAAGUAUUCUUUGCAGCAUGAGAUGGUGCUUUGUCAUGCAUGAAGAUGAUUUUAUUACGGAAAGCAUAGUUCUUCCUUCUGUACCAGGGAAGAAAGUGGUCAGUCAGAAACUCUACAUACUUUGCAGAGGUCAUCUUUAUACCUUCGGGCACCCUAAAGGGGCCGACCAGCUCUCUUCCCAUGAUUCCGGCUCAAAACAUGACUCCACCACCGCCUUGCUGACGUUGCAGCCUUGUUGGAACAGGGCGGCCGUCCACCAACCAUCCACUACUCCAUCCAUCUGGACCACCCAGGGUUGCACGGCACUCAUCAGUGAACAGGACUGUUUGAAAAUUAGUCUUCAUGUAUUUUUCUGCCCAAUGCAGCCGUUUCUGCUUGUUAGCAUUGGUUAGUGGUGGCACAGUUCGAAGACUCUAAAGGACUCUACACCUUGAUGUCCGUGGAACUCCAGAGGCACCAGCAGCUUCAAAUAUGUUUUCUGCUGUGUAAUGGUAUUUUAGCAGCUGAUCCAAUGCAUGGAUCUGGCAGAAAUCUUCCUCAAUGUGCCUUUAAUAGUGCGAUGAUCACGCUUAAGUUUUCGUGAAAUAUCUAAUGUUUUCAUACCUCGUCCAAGGCAUUGAACUAUUUCACUCUUUUCGGCAGCAGAGAGAUCCUUUUUCUUCCCUAUAUUGCAUGAAAAUGGUGCUCUGCUUAAUAAUGUUUUUCCUUAAAUUGGGCUCACCUGGCAAUCUAAUUAUCACAGGUGUCCGAGAUUGUUUUCAGUGAUCAAAAGAGCCCUGAGACACAAUGCCAUCCAUGAGUUAAACUGAAAAACAAAAUAUUUCAUCUUUGUGACACUUAAAUAGAAUUUGCAUAAUAAUUUGGAACCGUGUGUAGGUGUAUUUGAAGCUCCAGAGCAUUAGAUAAUGUCAGAAAAGAUAAUUAGAAAGAAAGAUGUAGUGGCAUGAGACAGUAAAUUGACAGCAGCACAAAGUAGGUACAGGCUAUGUCUUAAUUACACCAUGCAGGGCAGAAAUUACUUUCUUCUUUUUUUCUCUUAGUUUGGAUGGAAGAGAAAUGAGUUUGACUUGCUUGCUGCUGGCAG
rnacentral:lncRNA from 1 species